rnacentral:rRNA from 1 species
CCAGCCGUAAACGAUGGUCACUAGGUGUAGGAGGUAUCGACCCCUUCUGUGCCGCAGCAAACGCAUUAAGUGACCCGCCUGGGGAGUACGGUCGCAAGACUGAAACUCAAAGGAAUUGACGGGGACCCGCACAAGCGGUGGAGCAUGUGGUUUAAUUCGAUGCAACGCGAAGAACCUUACCAGGGCUUGACAUGUAUGGGAAGUUUGCCGAAAGGCAGAUGUGCCUCUUCGAGGAGCUCAUACACAGGUGG